rnacentral:tRNA from 1 species
GCCUCGGUAGCGCAGUAGGCACCGCGUAAGUCUCAUAAUCUUAAGGUCGUGAGUUCGAUCCUCACCCGGGGCA